CGGUCCACCCAUUAAGUCUACAGAAGGUAACAAGGCUAGCAGGAAAAGCUGGAAAGAAAUCUACAGCUACAUAUCGCUACACUAGCAUGAUCUACACUAACCAACUGUAGUAAAAGUCACAACUGACUCAAUCUCACUAGGGACUGUGAACACACCCGUCCCGCCUGUCGGAUCGAACCCGUAUCCUACUCCAGGAAUAGCUGGUGGAGAAAACUCUCUAGGGACUGUGAAUACACCCGUCCCGCCUAAUUAGGUGACACCGUAGCUCAAGAGUAACUGGCGGAGAAAACUCUCUGGAGACUGUGAAUACACCCGUCCCGUCUACUAGAAUACGUCGUAUUUCAAGAGUAAUCGGCGGAGAAAACUCUCUAAAGACUGUGAAUACACCUGUCUCACCUAAUUAGACUACACCAUACCUCGAGAGUAGUCGGUCCCAGAAAAAGGUCCAACAGGAUGGUUAAGACUCCACUCACGUCACAACCUCACUAAAGGUAGGGAAAAACGUCACUCACUAUCUCACCCGGGCUGCCCAAAACGGACCCACCCUACCUGUAUCUAGCUGCGCCGUACACCACCCCGAGGGUAGCCGGCUCAAGAACUGUCCAACAGAAACUGCGACACUUAUCGCACUGAAACCUCAUUCCCGAAUAGCAUUCACGAGCGCGACCCAACGAGUUUACAAGUAUCUCUGUCAAGUUCAUACCGCUCUCACAGGCUAAGUCAAGUAACCGACCUUAACUGGUCUAACAACGAACAGGUAAAGUGCCCUCGACACAAUCUAACGCUAAAAAGGCGAUACGAGUCCACCGUCAACUCCGACGGCACCCAACAGUCCGGAACAGCCUGAACUCUACUAUAAAAAUACACUCGGCAUCCCAGCACGAGCGUAACUAAAAAUUAAACUACCUGAAAUAUUCACUAUGAGGAUACUGCAACAGUAUAAAAUAAUACAACGGCCCCUAGGCUAAAUCAGGUAGUUUAACAUAUGCCAGGUCCCGAAAGCCGGUUUUCUCCUGUGUCAAAUCCAGGUCCAACAUGUAUAAUUUAUUUAUAAAAAUAGGCUCCAAUUUCAGUUUAGAUGAAAACAACAUUUACAAAUAUGAAACUGAGCUAAAACAAUAGUAAUGUGUAAUACUAACAAUACAUGUUGACCAACAAGACUAUACGAGUAGGAAUCCGAUGAUAAACCCACCUCGAAAGGUAAAUCCAAUCCGGCGCGACGUCGAGAACGGCGGAAACGCACCCUCGUCCAGCCUCCUCGUGAUGCUACGACUGCAACCGUAUCCUCGAACGGCUUUGCGGCGCGACGUCAAUGUCGAAUCCGAGCUCCUCGGCUACCUCUACCCGUGCUCUCCACCAUGCACGUAAUUAACUAGAGAGAACAAAAAAAAAUGCACACUCUCUGUUAAUUUGAAGAGAUAAACAUGAAAAGGGUGGUGGCAUCCUUAUCCAAAAAAAUGACCACUAUGCCCCUAGACCAACUCAAAAUGAAGGGUAUUACAUCCUCCCCCACUAUAAAAAGUUUCGUCCUCGAAACUUAAAACAUAUCUCAAACCUGAGUCUCGAACAAGUAGGGAUAGGACUCCCGCAUCACCAUCUUCGGCUCCCAGGUUGCCUUCCGUUCCUCAUGAUUGCUCCACUACACUUUCACAUACGGGAUGUCCCGGUUGCGCAAUUCUUUCGUCUCCCGAGCAAGAAUCCGCAACGGUCGCUCCUCGUAUCUCAGAUCCUCGCCAAUCUCUAGUGGAGUGAAAUCGAUCACGUGAGAAGGAUCGAAAAUAUAUCUCCUCAAUGCUGAGACGUUGAAGACAUCGUGAAUGCCAGCUAGUCACGGGGGUAGAGCGAUCCUGUAAGCAACUGGUCCAACUCGCUCCAAUACCUCAAAAGGGCCAACAAAGCGUGGACUGAGCUUUCCACGCACUCCAAAUCGGCAAAUCCCUCUGGACGGCGAGACUUUAAGAAAUACAUGAUCUCCAACCUGGAACUCUAAGUCUCGUCUCCUGGUAUCGGCGUAGCUCCUCUGGCGGCACUGGGCUGUCAAAAGGUGUCGUCGAACAACUCUCACCUUUUCCUCAGCCUCUAGCAAAAUCUCAGGCCCAAGUGUCUUCCUCUUACCCACAUCACUCUAAAACAACGGGGAUCGACAUCUGCGUCCAUACAACGCCUCAAACGGAGCUAUCUGGAUGCUCGUUUGAUAGCUGUUGUUGUACGCAAACUCAACCAGUCUCAAAUGUCGAUACCACCCUCCUCCAAAAUCCAGGACACAUGCCCUCAGCAUGUUCUCUAGAGUCUGAAUGGCCCUCUCUGACUGACCAUCUGUCUGUGGGUGGAACGCUGUGCUAAAAUGCAACUGAGUGCCCAAGGCUGUCUGUAGACUCCUCCAAAACUGAGAUACAAACCUCGGGUCUCUGUCUGAUACAAUCGACACUGGCACGCCGUGCAGCCUGACGAUCUCAUCCAGGUAUAGAUGCGCGAGUCUCUCUCUGGACCAGAUGGUCUGAACCGAUAAGAAGUGAGCAGACUUGGUCAGUCUGUCCACUAUCACCCAAAUCGCAUCAAAGCCACCCUGCGCUCUAGGCAAUCUCACGACAAAGUCCACCGUAAUCUUCUCCCACUUUCACUCGACACUGGCAGACUCUGAAGCUUGCCAGCAGGUACCUGAUGCUCGGCCUUCACCUAUUGGCAAGUCAAAUACUGAGCCACAUACCGGCCAAUGCCUCUCUUCAUUCCAUUCCACCAAAACUGUGCCUUCAAGUCCUUAUACAUCUUGGUUUCACUUGGGUGAACCGUAUAAGGAGAACAAUGAGUCUCUCUCAAGAUGUCCUCUUGGAUCCCUAAAUCCACCGGCACACACAGUCGGUCCCUAUACCGCAGUACUCCCGAACUGUCAACAGAAAAACCCUCAGCCUGUCCCCUAUGUAGCUGCUCUCGAAUCCUCGUCAAGUACGGAUCUCCACUCUGUUUCUCUCGGAUCCUAUCCAACAGAGUGGGCUGCAAGACCAGAGACAUUAGUCUCGCAGUAGACCCAGGGGAUAUUAUCUCAAGCCUCAGCCGCUGGAGCUCCUCAAGUAACGGUCUCUGCUCAGUGAUCAUCACACUCAGGCUCUGCACUGACUUCCUGCUCAACGCAUCUGCCACUACAUUCGCCUUACCGGGAUGAUACUGAAUACUAAUGUCAUAGUCCUUCAGUAACUCCAACCACCGGUGCUGCCUCAGGUUCAGCUCCCUCUGUGUGAACAGAUACUUGAGACUUUUAUGAUCCGUAAAAAUCUCGCAGUGCUCGCCGUACAAGUAAUGUCGCCACAACUUCAAAGCAAAGACUACCGCGGCAAGCUCCAAGUCAUGCGUAGGGUAAUUCUUCUCAUAAUCCUUUAACUGCCGUGAUGCAUAAACAAUUACCCUACCAUGCUGCAUCAACACACAACCCAGUCCACUGUGCGAUGCAUCAUUGUAGAUCACAAAUCCUUCCCCCAUCACAGGAAGGGCAAGGAUAGGAGCUGACGUCAACCUUUGUCGCAACUCAUCAAAGCUCCUCUGACAAUCCUCACUCUAGAUGAAUCUAAUCCCCUUUCGCGUCAAUCGAGUGAGGGGUGUGGAAAGCUUCGCAAAGCCUUCCACAAACCGACGGUAAUAUUCUGCUAAUCCAAGGAAACUCCUCACCUCUGUCACCGUCACCGAUCUGGGCCAACCCCGAAUAACAUCAAUCUUCUUCGGGUCCACUGCUACUCCCUCUGCUGAUAUCACAUGGCCCAAGAAAGCAACCUCUCGUAACCAGAACUCGAACUUCUUCAACUUGGCAUACAACUUCUUCUCUCGCAGAAGUUGUAGCACAAUUCUCAAGUGCUCCUCAUGCUCAGCAUCACUCCGGGAGUAAAUCAGGAUAUCGUCGGUAAAGACUACCACAAAUCUAUCCAAGAACGACUUAAACACUCUGUUCAUCAAAUCCAUGAAUGCUGCAGGGGCAUUCGUCAAUCCAAAAGGCAUCACCGUUAACUCAUAAUGCCCGUACCGAGUCCGAAAAGCCGUCUUGGGAACAUCCUCGGCCCUUACCCUCAAUUGGUGGUAACCUGACUGGAGAUCAAUCUUCGAAAAGACAUAAGAUCCCUGCAGCUGAUUAAACAGAUCAUCAAUGCGCGGCAAGGGAUACUUAUUCUUGAUGGUCACUUUAUUCAGCUCCCGGUAGUCCACACACAGCCUAAGUAAACCAUCAUUCUUCUUCACAAACAACACCGGCGCUCCCCAAGGCGAAACAUUGGGUCUCACAAACCCUCUAUCCAUCAAAUCCUGAAGCUGUGCCUUUAGCUCUCUCAGCUCUGCUGGCGCAAUCCGAUAAGGUACCUUUGAGAUUGGUGCAGUUCCAGGAACUACAUCAAUCACAAACUCAAUCUCCCUCUCCGGCGGCAACGUCGUCAACUCAGGAGGAAACACAUCUAGAAACUCAUGGACUAUAGGGAUAUCCUCGAGUCCCGGCGCCGCCGUAGGUACCUCCACAACUGCCGCUAAGAAAGCGAUACACCCACUACUCAGCAUCUGUCGAGCUCUCGCCGAAGAUAUCCAGGUGGCAAACAACGUACUACUACAGCCUCUGAAAGUGAACUCCUUCUGGCUUGGCUCGCGGAAUGUCACCGUCCUCGCUCCACAAUCGAUCGUAGCAUAGUACCGCGUCAACCAAUCCAUACCGAGCACGAUGUCAAAGCCCUGCAGCUGCCCUAACACCAACAGGUCUGCGGCAUAAACCACGAAUCUAACUGCACCGGACACGACCAACAACACUCCGCAGUCUGUAACACAUGGUCGGGGAUCUGCACCUCUCGUGUCAAAGACAACGACCCUAACUCUAGACCAUAUAACAGUGCAAAUACUUGGCUAACAAAAGAAUGCGAGGCACCGGUAUCAACUAAAGUACGACUACAUAUGCCAAAAAUCAAAAUGAUACCUGCCACCAUACGGUCGGCUGCUGAAGAGUCCUCCCGAUGGUAACUCGGUAGUACUCCAAAAGUCUGCUGGUCAGCUGGCUGCGCUGAUGCAAUGGAUAGUGCUGGAAAUGUCGCUCUAGGACACGCUGACCUCACAUGUCCUGGCUGUCCACAAGUGUAGCAGCGACCCUCUUUCUGCUCACAUUGUCGGGGCCAGUGUGGUCCUCCAUAAAUCACGCACCGCAGCGUCCUCGGUGACGGUCCCUGCUGAAGCAAUCCCCUGGAAAGCUGACGCCCCGAUGAACCACGACCCUAAGAGCAAGAUCGAGAAAGCCUCAGCGGACGUCUGCUACUCGCCUGUCCUCCAUCAUCUGGAAAAGGGCGCUUCCUGUCUUGGCUCUGCCCCGGUGCCAUAGUCCGCUCCUAGAUGGGUGUAACUCCGUGUCCCACCAAGAGUACCUGCUGCACAGAUGCUCCUGUCUCAACUCCUGACCACUGAGUGAUAAUCUCAUAAAUUCUCUGCAAUAGUACACUCUGCUGCUUGAUCACUGUCAGGGCAGCCAACUGCUCUCUCAAAUCAGGGGGUACACUUGCCUCCGGUCGUGCACUCGGCUCUGCCUGGUCGGGCAUCUCUAGCGGUGCGACUUGAUCCCUGGUCGACGGUCAACCUCGGCAGCAAUCAGAACGAAACAAAACGGGGUCAAAUACAACUCAAACACUCUCGACCCAAUCAAUGAAAGUCUAGAAAGCAACCCCUGUUUUCCUCUAAAAUUAUGUCGUCUGCAGUCAACAUAAUUUCUCAGGCCAAAACAGGUACUCCUUCAAUCACUCACCCCACUCUCGGAGGAGUUAGAACAACUAAUCAUUGACUUUCGCAAUUAGAUUACGCCUCUCACUUCUUGCUUUCCUAAGGUUUGCCAAACUUAGGUUCUCUAGGUCCCAACGACCGAAUGCUAAACUCUGAUACCAACUUAAUCUGUCACGCCCCGGAUUACAGUUCCCCGGACACGCCGACAAAUCCGCCGUAUACAAAGGAAUUUUCCCUGUAUACGAAGCGACAGUUGUACCUGUAAAACAUACAAUACUACAAACAGUAAUAUAGAGCUGCUAGAAGAACUAGUAAAGUAAAAGAAACCGAGUUCCAUAUACAUACACUGAAUCCCAGAGUACAAAGCUACUCGCGCUGGCGAGUUAAAAGUCUGUAUGUACAUGAACCCAAACCAAAACAUCUACCUGCAGUAGGGGUGCAUCUAGCUCUGCUCCUCGGGUAGGGCUCUAACUCGUGAUGCCCUUGCCUAGCUCCUGACCAGCAACAGCAGCAGCCGAAGACGAAGGCUCUGCAAAAACGGGAUAACAACUGGACGUGAGAACUACUGUAGAAACAAGUAGUCCUCAGUGGGUGCCGCCCUCAACAAUCAUCGGUCCAGCCACUAAGUCUACAGAAGGUAACAAGGCUAACAGGAAAAGCUGGAAAGAAAUCUACAGCUACAUAUCGCUACACUAGCAUGAUCUACACUAAACAACUGUAGUAAAAGUCAAAACUGACUCAAUUUCACUAGGAACUGUGAACACACCCGUCCCGCCUGCCGGAUCGAACCCGUAUCCUACUCCAGGAAUAGCUGGUGGAGAAAACUCUCUAGGGACUGUGAAUACACCCGUCCCGCCUAAUUAGGUGACACCGUAGCUCAAGAAUAACCGGCGGAGAAAACUCUCUGGAGACUGUGAAUACACCCGUCUCGUCUACUAGAAUACGCCGUAUCUCAAGAGUAAUCGGCGGAGAAAACUCUCUAAAGACUGUGAAUACACCCGUCUCACCUAAUUAGACUACACCAUACCUCGAGAGUAGUCGGUCCCAGAAAAAGGUCCAACAUGAUGGUUAAGACUCCACUCACGUCACAACCUCACUAAAGGUAGAGAAAAACGUCACUCACUAUCUCACCCGGGCUACCCAAAACGGACCCACCCUGCCUGUAUCUAGCUGCGCCGUACACCACCCCGAGGGUAACCGGCUCAAGAACUGUCGAACAGAAACUGCGACACUCAUCGCACUGAAACCUCAUUCCGGAAUGGCAUUCGCGGGCGCGACCCAACGAGUUUAUAAGUAUCUCUGUCAAGUUCAUACCGCUCUCACAGGCUAAGUCAAGUAACCGACUCUAACUGGUCUAACAACCAACAGGUAAAGUGCCCUCGGCACAAUCUAACGCCAAAAAGGCGAUACGAGUCUACCGUCAACUCCGACGGCACCCAACAGUCCGAAAUAGCCUGAACGCUACUAUAAAAAUACACUCGGCAUCCCAGCACGAGCGUAACUAAAAAUUAAACUACCUGGAAUACUCACUAUGAGGAUACUGCAACAGUAUAAAAUAAUACAACGGUCCCUAGGCUAAAUCAGGUAGUUUAACAUAUGCCAGGUCCCGAACACGGGUUUUCUCCUAUGUCAAAUUCAGAUCCAAUAUGUAUAAUUUAUUUAUAAAAAUAGGCUCCAAUUUCAGUUUAGAUGAAAACAACAUUUACAAAUAUGAAACUGAGCUAAAACAAUAGUAAUGUGUAAUACUAACUAUACAUGUCGACAAACAAGACUAUAUGAGUAGGAAUCCGAUGAUAAACUCAC
rnacentral:lncRNA from 1 species